rnacentral:rRNA from 1 species
GACGAACCGAGCGAACGUUGUUCGGAAUCACUGGGCUUAAAGGGCGCGUAGGCGGGUGCUCAAGUCCGGGGUGAAAUCCUCCAGCUCAACUGGAGAACUGCCUCGGAUACUGGGUGCCUCGAGGGUGGCAGGGGUAUGCGGAACUAUCGGUGGAGCGGUGAAAUGCGUUGAUAUCGAUAGGAACUCCGGUGGCGAAGGCGGCAUACUGGUCCACUUCGUGACGCUGAGGCGCGAAAGCCAGGGGAGCAAACGGG